CGCGGCCUAUCAGCUUGUUGGUGAGGUAAUGGCUCACCAAGGCGUCGACGGGUAGCCGGCCUGAGAGGGUGACCGGCCACACUGGGACUGAGACACGGCCCAGACUCCUACGGGAGGCAGCAGUGGGGAAUAUUGCACAAUGGGCGAAAGCCUGAUGCAGCAACGCCGCGUGAGGGAUGACGGCCUUCGGGUUGUAAACCUCUUUUAGCAGGGAAGAAGCGAAAGUGACGGUACCUGCAGAAAAAGCGCCGGCUAACUACGUGCCAGCAGCCGCGGUAAUACGUAGGGCGCAAGCGUUAUCCGGAAUUAUUGGGCGUAAAGAGCUCGUAGGCGGUUUGUCGCGUCUGCUGUGAAAUCCCGAGGCUCAACCUCGGGUCUGCAGUGGGUACGGGCAGACUAGAGUGCGGUAGGGGAGAUUGGAAUUCCUGGUGUAGCGGUGGAAUGCGCAGAUAUCAGGAGGAACACCGAUGGCGAAGGCAGAUCUCUGGGCCGUUACUGACGCUGAGGAGCGAAAGGGUGGGGAGCAAACAGGCUUAGAUACCCUGGUAGUCCACCCCGUAAACGUUGGGAACUAGUUGUGGGGUCCAUUCCACGGAUUCCGUGACGCAGCUAACGCAUUAAGCUCCCCGCCUGGGAGUACGG
rnacentral:rRNA from 1 species